rnacentral:sRNA from 1 species
ACAGCAGGGGGUGUCUGAUAGGGACAUCUGUUGCCUAGUCACAGCAGGGUGGAUGUCUCCAAUCUGGCUGGUUGGACAGAUGUCCCUGCCUCUGCUCUGUGCGGACACAUUCUAAAGCCACAUGCUUCAGGAGGACAACCUCUGCUGAUGGCCAUGACGUGUCCUCAGUCAAGGGUAUAUACGAGGACAAGGAAUAGAUUUUCAUUUAUCUUGAAAGCCAAGUGCUUAAAGAG